rnacentral:lncRNA from 1 species
AUUUCGUAUUCUGUUUAGUUUAAGUAAAUUUAUGAUUGAGUUGAUGUUUUAUAAAAAGAAUUUUGUUAAAUAUUGUUUAGAUUAUUAAUUGAACUUUAAAUAGUGUUUAAAUAACAAAUGUUUAUUUUUUUUAUUAAUAUGUAAAUUUUUUCUUGUAUAAAAUGAUUCGCUGAAGGUAGCGCUUUUGCUCUCUCGCCUUGGUGUCAACGGCUGUCGGUGACUGGUGUGGUUUUUAUGGUAACUGUUUGGAUGUUGUUAUUAUUGUACUGUUGUGGAAUAUUUAAUUUUAAAAGUUUAAAGGAUACGACAGUGCUUACGAAUAGUGGACAGGUGAGAGGAUUAACAGUAUUGUCUGGUAACAAAGUUUUGUUUAUAAUAAUAAAUUUAUUUGAAUUAUGGAUUUUUGGUUGGAUUCUUUUUUGCGUUGGUUUGAAGUUAACGAAAUCACUAUACGUAUAAGCUCGAAGAGGAAGUCCGAGGAUACGGAGGGGCGGGGCCGAACGAAUACUGAAAAUCCGGCGGGAGCCCGGAUUUUUUCAGUCUAUCUAUUUGCACAUUUAGUUUCAUACAAAAGUGGAUCUUCCAUAUGGGGUAUAAUCUUACUUUAUGAUCAUUUUUCAUCUUAGACUUUUAGGAAUUGAAAGUUACCAUUUAUCUUGCCUUCCUAGAUGAAGGAUUGAAUCUGGAGACUGAAAACUUUCUACCAGGUUUGUUUUAAUUUUCUUAGCCAUAUUAGACCUUUCAGAUAUUAAUAAACUGUUGCCAAAUAUGCCAUACUAGCAACUGAUAUAUACAUUCUUAAAAUUUAAUUAAAUUAACCAGACACUGAAAUGUUGAAGCACUGAAAUGAGGUGGCCCACAGAAAAGGAUGGCAUGGAAUAUGUUUUGCCAUUACAUCAUAGAGUGGAACAUAAUUGCCUUCAAAUAUGUAAAGGCAGAGUAUUGAAAGAUUAGGCAAC